rnacentral:rRNA from 1 species
AGCAGCCGCGGUAACACCAGCGCCACGAGUGGCAAUCGUUUUUAUUGGGUCUAAAGCGUCCGUAGCCGGUCUGACUAAUCUUUUGUGAAAUCGAUAAACUUAACUUAUCGGCGUGCAAGAGACACUAUCAGACUAGGGACCGGGAGGAGCCAGAGGUAUUCCAGGGUGAGCGGUAAAAUGCUGUAAUCCUUGGAGGACCACCUGUGGCGAAGGCGUCUGGCCAGAACGGAUCCGACGGUGAGGGACGAAAGCUAGGGGAGCAAAACGGAUUAGAUACCCGAGUAGUCCUAGCUGUAAACACUGCGAGCUAGGUGUUGCACAUUCUUCGUGGAUGUGCAGUAUCGAAGCGAAGGCGUUAAGCUCGCCACCUGGGAAGUACGGUCGCAAGGCUGAAACUUAAAGGAAUUGGCGGGGGAGCACCACAAGGGGUGCGGCGUGCGGUUUAAUCUAAUUCAACACAGAGAAUCUCACCAGCAGCGACGGCAGGAUGAAGGUCAGGCUGAAGACCUUACCUGACAAGCCGAGAGGUGGUGCAUGGCCGCCGUCAGCUCGUGCUGUAAAGUGUCCUCUUAAGUGAGGUAACGAGCGAGACCUGCGUCCACAAUUGCUAACAGGCCCGUUUGGGUGACUGAGCACAAUGUGGAGACUGCCUUGGAAACGAGGAGGAAGGUGCAGGCUACGGUAGGUCUGUAUGCCCCGAAUCUGCUGGGCUACACGCGCGCAACAAUGGUAGGGACAAUGGGCUGCAACUCCGAAAGGAGGAGCUAAACCUCUAAACCCUAUCUUAGUCCAAGUCGAGGGUUGUAACUCACCCUCGUGACGUCGGAAUCCCUAGUAAUCGGGUGUCAUCAACGCCCGGUGAAUAUGUCCCUGCUCCU